UGAGGAAUAUUGGACAAUGGUCGCAAGACUGAUCCAGCCAUGCCGCGUGCAGGAAGACUGCCCUAUGGGUUGUAAACUGCUUUUAUAUGGGAAGAAUAAGGGCUACGUGUAGCUUGAUGACGGUACCAUAUGAAUAAGCAUCGGCUAACUCCGUG
rnacentral:rRNA from 2 species